AACGAACGCUGGCGGCGCGUUUUAAGCAUGCAAGUCGAGCGGCAAGGGUAGCAAUACCCCUAGAGCGGCGGACGGGUGAGUAACACGUGGACAACCUGCCCUUAGGUGAGGGAUAGCCCAGGGAAACCUGGAUUAAUACCUUAUAAGACCACUGAUAGGAGUAUGAGUGGGGAAAGGUGCUACGGCGCCGCCUGAGGAUGGAUCUGCGUCCCAUUAGCUAGAUGGUAGGGUAAAGGCCUACCAUGGCGACGAUGGGUAGCCGGCCUGAGAGGGUGAACGGCCACACUGGAACUGAGAGACGGUCCAGACUCCUACGGGAGGCAGCAGCUAAGAAUCUUCCGCAAUGGGCGCAAGCCUGACGGAGCGACGCCGCGUGAACGAUGAAGGCCGCAAGGUUGUAAAGUUCUUUUCGGGAAGGAGAAUAAGGGGAGCAGGCAAUGGCUUUCCGAUGCCGUGAAUCCCGGAAUAAGCCCCGGCUAACUACGUG
rnacentral:rRNA from 1 species